rnacentral:rRNA from 1 species
GACGAACGCUGGCGGCGUGCUUAACACAUGCAAGUCGAACGGAAAGGCCCUGCUUGCAGGGUACUCGAGUGGCGAACGGGUGAGUAACACGUGGGUGAUCUGCCCUGCACUUCGGGAUAAGCUUGGGAAACUGGGUCUAAUACCGGAUAGGAGCCAUCUUUAGUGUGGUGGUUGGAAAGUUUUUUCGGUGUAGGAUGAGCUCGCGGCCUAUCAGCUUGUUGGUGGGGUAAUGGCCUACCAAGGCGGCGACGGGUAGCCGGCCUGAGAGGGUGUACGGCCACAUUGGGACUGAGAUACGGCCCAGACUCCUACGUGAGGCAGCAGUGGGGAAUAUUGCACAAUGGGCGCAAGCCUGAUGCAGCGACGCCGCGUGGGGGAUGAAGGCCUUCGGGUUGUAAACUCCUUUCGCUAGGGACGAAGCUUUUUUGUGACGGUACCUAGAUAAGAAGCACCGGCUAACUACGUG